GUGAGAGAGGACCUGGCAAUGAUUUAGUGUUCAGUUUAAAGGAGAAGAUGGAAGCAAAUACAAGGAUUUGAGAUUAUUGGCUGCACAAGCAUCACCAUCAAUAACAAUUCCACUAUGUGAUACACUGCGAAAAUUGGUAGGUUUCUGGUACAUGAUGGAGAGCCAUUGGCCAAUGAGUUGGAAGAAUCCAAGAAAAUGAUCAAGAUCAUUUCACCAUCCGAAGAAUUAGGAAAGAACAUUGGAAAAGUAUCAAAGGAGUCCCUGAAGCAACUGAGAAUUUAGCAUAUUAAAGAAACAAAAAUAAGAGCAGUGUGAUUAAAAUAAAGUCAGAAA
rnacentral:lncRNA from 1 species